rnacentral:rRNA from 1 species
ACAUGCAAGUCGAGCGGAUGAGGGUAGCUUGCUAUCUGAUUCAGCGGCGGACGGGUGAGUAAUGCCUAGGAAUCUGCCUGGUAGUGGGGGACAACGUUUCGAAAGGAACGCUAAUACCGCAUACGUCCUACGGGAGAAAGUGGGGGAUCUUCGGACCUCACGCUAUCAGAUGAGCCUAGGUCGGAUUAGCUAGUAGGUGGGGUAAUGGCUCACCUAGGCGACGAUCCGUAACUGGUCUGAGAGGAUGAUCAGUCACACUGGAACUGAGACACGGUCCAGACUCCUACGGGAGGCAGCAGUGGGGAAUAUUGGACAAUGGGCGAAAGCCUGAUCCAGCCAUGCCGCGUGUGUGAAGAAGGUCUUCGGAUUGUAAAGCACUUUAAGUUGGGAGGAAGGGUUGUAACCUAAUAC